AGGUUAAGCCGUUAAGGACAAUGGUGUAAUCAACCCUUACUAAAGUCCCCUUCAUUUCCCGCGACGGCGCCACCCUUCGCCCAUUUCCAUUUUUCCCUUUCGCAUCACGUGCUCUUCCCCUCAACCCCGCACCUCCCCGAACCGAUCGAUCGUUAGGGUUUUCCUCGCGAUACCUGCGCGCCGAUCUCGAACUCGAUUCAUGGCGACGACGCUCCUCAUUCCCCGUUCGACACCAAAGUGAGCUCAAGAAUGCUAAUAUUGUGUUAUGGUAAAAGAAAGAAACAUAAUCAGCUUACUCUGAUUCUGCCCUUGCAUUUCUUACAACAAGAUCUUAGUUUACGCCUUCAUUCAAUGUAUGUCAUAUUUAAGCAAUGCUUCUCGCAGAAUCUGAAACAUAACUGUUAUAGAAACACGCUCAUCUCUGUAUAUAAUAUUUAGUGUGUUUAACUCUGAAUCUUCUUGAACCACAAUUAGGAGAUUACUGUAGAGGUUUUAAAAUCUAAGCAUCUGAAUCUUUAGAUGUGAUGCAGAACAUCUAAAGGACCUAACUACCAAAAUGAAUGAUGCUUGAUCCAAAACAUUUAAAGCUCUUCUAAAUGUUGGAUAUCGCAUCCGACAGUUUACCAUUUUGAUUUGAAAAGCUUUAAAGGUUCAAUUUUAGGGAAAAGAUCUGAGAUGAUGCGGUCGACCAGGUCCCGGCAAUGCCUGAGAAACAGAGCCUAAACUGGGCCUUGAUUACAUUUUUGGGCCGGGCCAACGUGGCUUGGGCCACAUUAUAUUUAGGUCAUCUCUCUGCAAAGGGUUUCUAGGCUCAAGAUAUUGUUCAAGCUGUUUACUAGCUUCCAUUCUGUUAUCUGUGAACGGUAAACUUUUGAGUAUUUCAAUCAUUUAUACCUAGGCUGUUGAUUGAGGUUACUGUUUAUGAACAGCUUGUGUUCCGUGGGAGGAUUGGCUUGGCAAAGGCUCAUUCAGUUGGCUCGUCCGGUUGGCACUGUUUCCUAAAUGAGCCAAGGAUGAGCUUAGCUAGCUCCCUUGCGUUCAACUCGAUUAAGCUCAAAAAGUGUAAAUCUUUGAUAAAAUUAAUAUGAAGUACACUAAAUAUAGAUUUUAUAUGCGUUAAAAGUCUUAAUUUUUCAGUGUUCUGUGGAAAGAAUUACUUUUGGUAUGUACUAAUAUAAUUCUGAUAGUUAAUUGUGUUUAA